rnacentral:rRNA from 1 species
ACGUAGGGUCCAAGCGUUAAUCGGAAUUACUGGGCGUAAAGCGUGCGCAGGCGGUUGUGCAAGACCGAUGUGAAAUCCCCGGGCUUAACCUGGGAAUUGCAUUUGAGACUGCACGGCUAGAGUGUGGCAGAGGGGGGUAGAAUUUCACGUGUAGCAGUGAAAUGCGUAGAGAUGUGGAGGAAUACCGAUGGCGAAGGCAGCCCACUGGGAUAUCACUGACGCUGAUGCGCGAAAGCGUGGGGAGCAAACAG